rnacentral:rRNA from 1 species
UAUCUCUGUAGAGUCUGCAUAUCAAUAAGCGGAGGAAAAGAAACUAACUAGGAUUCCCUCAGUAACGGCGAGUGAAGCGGGAAGAGCUCAAAUUUGAAAUCUUCAAGGUUUUACCUUGACGAAUUGUAGUUUAAAGAAGUGUUUUCUGUUGGAGUUUUGGUAAAAGUUCUUUGGAAUAGGACAUCAUAGAGGGUGAGAAUCCCGUAUUUGACCAUUAUUUCCAGCUUUGUGAUACACUUUCAAAGAGUCGGAUUGUUUGGGAAUGCAGUCCAAAAUGGGUGGUAAAUUUCAUCUAAAGCUAAAUACUGGCGAGAGACCGAUAGCGAACAAGUACCGUGAGGGAGAGAUGAAAAGAACUUUGAAAAGAGAGUUAAACAGUACGUGAAAUUGUCAAAAGGGAAGCGUUUGACACCAGUGUUGUUUUCUCGAAAAUCAAUUAAAAAAGGCAGGAUUUUGUGUUGUAUUGACUUUAUCAGCUUUCUGCACUUUUUUCCUGUCUUUUUUAAUGCACUUUUCGUUUAACAAGUCAACAUCAAUUUCUUUUGUUGUAAAAGGGUCAUUGGAAGGUGGCUUUCUUUUCGGAGAAAGUGUUUAUAGCCUUUGGCCUCUGCAAUCGGAGAGAUUGAGGUCUGCAGCGUAGAUCCUUCGGGGCUAGAUACGUAGAUGCUAAGUUAUAGUUUUUUAUAGACAACUUGUUGACUAUGAAUUAAGUCAUGUAGCUUACUCGCUUAUGCCUAUUUUACCUACGCUUAGGAUGUUGAGUCAUCACACAUCUCU